rnacentral:rRNA from 1 species
GGCUCAGGACGAACGCUGGCGGCGUGCUUAACACAUGCAAGUCGAACGAUGAAGCCCUUCGGGGUGGAUUAGUGGCGAACGGGUGAGUAACACGUGGGCAAUCUGCCCUUCACUCUGGGACAAGCCCUGGAAACGGGGUCUAAUACCGGAUAACACUCCUGCCUGCAUGGGCGGGGGUUAAAAGCUCCGGCGGUGAAGGAUGAGCCCGCGGCCUAUCAGCUUGUUGGUGGGGUAAUGGCCUACCAAGGCGACGACGGGUAGCCGGCCUGAGAGGGCGACCGGCCACACUGGGACUGAGACACGGCCCAGACUCCUACGGGAGGCAGCAGUGGGGAAUAUUGCACAAUGGGCGAAAGCCUGAUGCAGCGACGCCGCGUGAGGGAUGACGGCCUUCGGGUUGUAAACCUCUUUCAGCAGGGAAGAAGCGAAAGUGACGGUACCUGCAGAAGAA